UAGUCCGGCUACUAUACUCUUAUGAGUACGAUCGCCCUCAUACUCAUAAGUUGUUUUCGAUGAUAGAGCUUUCGAAUCGACGAUCUACACCGUUGAACGUUAUUUAAAUCAUUCAAAACGUCUAGAAAUCAAAUUUUAUAAUUUUUCGACAUCAUUUACCUAACGAUCAAAAGGUCAUAAAAUUGAUAAUUUUUAGCUGCCGGUAAGGGAUCUUUACUAGCUUAACGGUGUAAAAAAAUUGAAAUCGAUUAAAUUUUUGAUAGAAAAUUCUAUUCACUAUAUGGAUAAAGAUCAAUAACUCCGAUCUUAAAUUGAAGGAUCUGAUCAUCCCUCAUUUUAUACCCACUUGAUGAAAUUUAUUAUGAUUUCGAAAAAUUACGAAAUUUAUUUUUUAGAAGUUUCAAAUACUUUAGACCAUAUUUAACUGAGUGGAUCAUCGAUUCGGAAGUUUCAUCAUUGAAAACAACUUAUGAGUAUGAAGGGCUUUAUAGUCAUGAGAGUACAGUAGCUCUAGCCUAUAUAUAUAUAUAUAUAUAUAUAUAUAU
rnacentral:lncRNA from 1 species